GUUUGGCAUUUUAUUGAUGAGCUAAAACCUUUGGAAACUGCAGUUUGCAUUGCAGGUUGAAGAAGAUGGGUCGUUCUGCAAAAUCCGUCGUGCCGAGACUUUCGAAGACCAUUUGCGGUUCUUUAAGGACCUUUGAGCAUGAAUGUGCAUGAGGAAAAAUGCGUUUGCGGGAGGCACCUAUGAAUCUAAGCCAAACUGCUCGGGAGGAUUCAAACUUAAUUCGAUGAUUAUUCGAGAUCGGCUUUUUCGAUUUUGAAUUGAGCUUGAGCUCAUACUUCUCAAAUAAACUCACGCUCAUAAAUAACCAACUCACAAG